rnacentral:rRNA from 1 species
AUUGAACGCUGGCGACAUGCCUUACACAUGCAAGUCGAACGGCAGCACGGGUGCUUGCACCUGGUGGCGAGUGGCGAACGGGUGAGUAAUACAUCGGAACAUGUCCUGUAGUGGGGGAUAGCCCGGCGAAAGCCGGAUUAAUACCGCAUACGAUCUACGGAUGAAAGCGGGGGACCUUCGGGCCUCGCGCUAUAGGGUUGGCCGAUGGCUGAUUAGCUAGUUGGUGGGGUAAAGGCCUACCAAGGCGACGAUCAGUAGCUGGUCUGAGAGGACGACCAGUCACACUGGGACUGAGACACGGCCCAGACUCCUACGGGAGGCAGCAGUGGGGAAUUUUGGACAAUGGGCGAAAGCCUGAUCCAGCAAUGCCGCGUGUGUGAAGAAGGCCUUCGGGUUGUAAAGCACUUUUGUCCGGAAAGAAAUCCUUGGCCCUAAUACGGUCGGGGGAUGACGGUACCGGAAGAAUAAGCACCGGCUAACUACGU